UUCUUCGUGGUGUAGCGGUUAGCAUAUUCGACGCGUAAUCGAGAGGUCCGUGGUUCGAUUCCCGGCGAAGGCG
rnacentral:tRNA from 1 species